rnacentral:misc_RNA from 1 species
UCUCCGUAGGUGAACCUGCGGAGGGAUCAUUACAGAGUUCAUGCCCUACCGGGUAGAUCUCCCACCCUAUGUUAUUAUUACUUUGUUGCUUUGGCGGGCCGUUAGGCUCCGGCCCGACUACCGGCCCCGGCUGGUAAGCGCCCGCCAGAGGACCCAAAACCCCGAAUAUUAGUGUCGUCUGAGUACUAUAUAAUAGUUAAAACAUUCAACAACGGAUCUCUUGGUUCUG